GACGAACGCUGGCGGCGUGCCUAAUACAUGCAAGUCGAACGCUGAAGGAGGAGCUUGCUUCUCUGGAUGAGUUGCGAACGGGUGAGUAACGCGUAGGUAACCUGCCUGGUAGCGGGGGAUAACUAUUGGAAACGAUAGCUAAUACCGCAUAAUAUUGACUAUUGCAUGAUAGUCAGUUGAAAGGUGCAACUGCACCACUACCAGAUGGACCUGCGCUGUAUUAGCUAGUUGGUGGGGUAACGGCUCACCAAGGCGACGAUACAUAGCCGACCUGAGAGGGGGAUCGGCCACACUGGGACUGAGACACGGCCCAGACUCCUACGGGAGGCAGCAGUAGGGAAUCUUCGGCAAUGGACGGAAGUCUGACCGAGCAACGCCGCGUGAGUGAAGAAGGUUUUCGGAUCGUAAAGCUCUGUUGUAAGAGAAGAACGAGUGUGAGAGUGGAAAGCUCACACUGUGACGGUAUCUUACCAGAAAGGGACGGCUAACUACGUG
rnacentral:rRNA from 1 species